ACGAAGUUGCCAACAUCCUAAAUGUUUGUAGCGGUUUGUUGUUACUUAAAUUUGAAUAUUUUGAGCGGUUUCAAAAUGAGAAAACUCGUGCAGUACCUCGUAGUUUGCAGAUUGAAAAGGACAAAAGAGGUGCAAAAGCUCCACUGUUUUUUUUUUUUUUUUUUUUCGAAGCGACUCGACCGACCAACGAGUCGGUAACUAAAGACAAACUGAAGCUCGGUGGAGCUUCUAUUAGUAUUGUGAGACUAAGAGUUAUAUAAAAAUAACGGAUUACUGGAUUCUCCAGUGAAUCUUCGGUUAGAAAGAUUGAACUCUGUGUCGCAGUGAACGAAACACCGAGGGGCAUCGAAGCCGGUUUCUUCUUUUUCCGGAUAACUCAAAGGACACAUUUUCAACAAAUCGAGGAAAAGAAAAAAAAAUGGCUACAUUCAGCGAGAAACUGGGAGUCCGGAACAAAAAGAAUUGCAAACGUGUCAACUGUUUUCACAUUGGGGCCUUUGUCAUCGUUUUUCUGUGGUAA